rnacentral:rRNA from 1 species
UGGGAAUCUUGCACAAUGGCGAAAGCCUGAUGCAGCAACGCCGCGUGCGGGAAGACAGCCCUAGGGUUGUAAACCGCUUUCAGCAGGGAAGAAACUGACGGUACCUGCAGAAGAAGAUGCGGCCAACUACGUGCCAGCAGCCGCGUGACACGUAGGCAUCAAGCGUUGUCCGGAAUUAUUGGGCGUAAAGAGCUCGUAGGCGGUCCGUUGCGUCUGCCGUGAAAACCCGGAGCUCAACUCCGGGCCUGCGGUGGAUACGGGCGGACUAGAGUCCGGUAGGGGAGACUGGAAUUCCUGGUGUAGCGGUGGAAUGCGCAGAUAUCAGGAGGAACACCGGUGGCGAAGGCGGGUCUCUGGGCCGGAAACUGACGCUGAGGAGCGAAAAGCGUGGGGAGCGAACAGGAUUAGAUACCCUGGUA